rnacentral:lncRNA from 1 species
ACUCCCAGGUGACCCCCGCAAGAAACGCGGUCCGGAGAGGGUCUGGCCCCACUGCUGGGGCAAGGGCUCUAGGCGCCCGGACCCCACGCCCGCAGCCUGCGGAGAACGUGCCGACAAGGACCUGUAGGGCCCCACUCCCCCUCCUCCCUCCCUCGGCGCAGCCCGGCCCAGGGGUCUGUCCUCCCAGGCCCAGGAAAGGAGGAAACCCACUUCCGCCGCGUCCAUGAUCUCCCGCGGCUUCUCCUGACUCUUGCGGCUGGCGCUGGCGCUGGGCAUCGGGACACGGAACUGGGCAGUGGACACCACCCUCCCUCGCAGGCUUCCAAAGUAAUUUGAAGGCCUUCCCUGACUUAAAGUGGAUGCUGCUUUGGAAAGCACUGGAAAAAUGGAUCCUGUCUUUCUUAGCCAAGGACUGGUCUCUUUUCUCCAAUGUGUCCCUAACAGAGUGGUGAGGCUGGCUCUUCCCACCAGUACAGACAGAAUUUUCAAUUCACAAAUCAUCUGAAAAACAGGAAAUUUUGGAGAAACAUGCUUAUGAUAACAAACAAGGGAUCUAUCGUGUGGUAUAGAAGUUUACACAAAGAGGCAUCUGAUUUUAAGUUUUUGUUUUUUUUUUUUUUUUUUUUUUUACCGUUCUGGGCUUCUGGCUGCAUUCUAGGAAGAUCAUUCCUUAAAAGAAAUAGCCAUAUGGCUUAUAAGGGACUAUAUCUUAAGACUAUGUGUCUUCUGCAGUUCUUUGCAUAGAGUCAACGUUGAAGGACAAGCAACUUCAAAUUUCCAAGCAACAAAAUUAUGUUCGGGUGGUUUUCUGAAAGCGAGAUCUUAAGAACCACCUGUAUCAGAAUCCCAUGAAGAGCUUGUUUAGUGUGCAAAUUUACAGAUUGUCCCCCCUCAGAAAUGCUCAUUUAGGAGUUCCUGUCCUUUGCGGGGACAUGGAUGAAGCUGGAAACCAUCAUUCUCAGCAAACUAACACAGGAACAGAAAACCAAACACUGCAUGUUCUCACUCAAAAGUGGGAGUUGAACAAUGAGAACACAUGGACACA